AGAGUUUGAUCCUGGCUCAGGACGAACGCUGGCGGCGUGCUUAACACAUGCAAGUCUACGAGAACGAGGUAGCAAUAUCUUUAGUAAAGUGGCGCACGGGUGCGUAACACGUAAGCAAUCUACCUUUGGGUCUGGAAUAACUUCGAGAAAUCGAGGCUAAUACCGGAUAAUGCAGCGGCACCGCAUGGUGAUGUUGUUAAAGUUUAAGUAAUGCCUAUAGAUGAGCUUGCGUCUGAUUAGCUAGUUGGUAGGGUAAAGGCCUACCAAGGCUACGAUCAGUAGCUGGUCUGAGAGGAUGAUCAGCCACACUGGAACUGAGACACGGUCCAGACUCCUACGGGAGGCAGCAGUGAGGAAUAUUGGGCAAUGCCCGCAAGGGUGACCCAGCAACGCCGCGUGGAGGAUGAAGGCCGUAAGGUUGUAAACUCCUGUUAGAGGAGAAGAACAGUACCGAUUGGAUCGGUAUUUGACUGUACCCUCAGAGAAAGCCCCGGCUAACUACGUGCCAGCAGCCGCGGUAAUACGUAGGGGGCAAGCGUUGUCCGGAUUUACUGGGUGUAAAGGGCGCGCAGGCGGAAUAUCAAGUCAGAGGUGAAAUCCUACAGCUUAACUGUAGAACUGCCUUUGAUACUGUUAUUCUUGAGUUCGGGAGAGAGAGACGGAAUUCCAGGUGUAGUGGUGAAAUACGUAGAUAUCUGGAAGAACACCAGUUGCGAAGGCGGUCUCUUGGUCCGAUACUGACGCUGAGGCGCGAAAGCGUGGGGAGCAAACAGGAUUAGAUACCCUGGUAGUCCACGCUGUAAACGAUGAAUACUAGGUGUUGGGUUUUUAACUCAGUGCCGCAGCUAACGCAUUAAGUAUUCCACCUGGGAAGUACGAUCGCAAGGUUGAAACUCAAAGGAAUUGACGGGGGCCCGCACAAGCAGUGGAGCAUGUGGUUUAAUUCGAUGCAACGCGAAGAACCUUACCUAGGCUUGAAAGGCAAGUGACAGGGUAUGAAAGUACCCCUCCAGCAAUGGCACUUGUACAGGUGCUGCAUGGCUGUCGUCAGCUCGUGCCGUGAGAUGUUGGGUUAAGUCCCGCAACGAGCGCAACCCUCAUCUCCAGUUACCAGCGGGUAAUGCCGGGGACUCUGGAGGGACUGCCGGUGCCAAACCGGAGGAAGGUGGGGAUGACGUCAAGCCAUCAUGGCUCUUACAUCCAGGGCUACACACGUGCUACAAUGGCCGAGACAGAGGGCUGCGAACCCGCGAGGGGGAGCCAAUCCCCCAAACUCGGCCUCAGUUCGGAUUGUAGUCUGCAACUCUACUACAUGAAGCUGGAAUCGCUAGUAAUCGUGGAUCAGCUACGCCACGGUGAAUACGUUCCCGGGCCUUGUACACACCGCCCGUCACGCCAUGGAAGCUGUGAGUGCCCGAAGUCGGUGUCGCAACCGCAAGGAGCAAGCCGCCGAAGGCAAGCGCAGUGACUGGGGCGAAGUCGUAACAAGGUAGCC
rnacentral:rRNA from 1 species